AAAGUAGAAUUAUUCAGAUCUUGUGCUUGAGUACAAGUAAAGAUAGCAUCAGGAUGCAGGGAGUUAACAACGGCAAUAUUCCUGUGGUUCGUUUCCCCGUGCAUUUGCAGAGCAUGGUGCACGUGCACCUGAUUGCCCUCCCCUCCCCCACUCUUACUAAGCUGUGCUGUGAGUUCAGAAACAGGACAGAGCAGUGAUGCAGUGACGCAUCCUAAAACCCGGAAGUAAGCAACGUGAUUUCUCCUCCAUAGGAUUUUGGAUAUUUAUGCACUGUAUUCAUGUGCAAUGCCUAAAUUAGUGAAGUUUACACAGGCACGUGGGGGGGGGGCAGCUCGGGGGAUGAGAGGAGUGCAUGCAGACACGUGAUGUAAAGUCUUGCUUUUACGUAAAUUGAAGAAUUGAAGUAAAGAUCGUCUUGUUUUUUAAACGUAUGCACGCCUGGAAAUCCCUCUUGUGUCCACGUGUGCAACAAAUAUUGGAGGCACUGCUGAGGUAUUAAUGUUUCGCCGUGUCUGUGUGUGACACCAACUCGGACGGAGUUUUCCCCUGACGGGAGCGAGCAGGGCUGGAGCACCGGACGCGCACAGCAGGUUGCAACUGGAUCAGCUCAAAGAGGUGAGAUGGCUGACAAUUAAGAAAACAGAGUUCAGUGAGGAAGAGACGGCUUGGUCUUCAACAGGAUGCCAGGAUCACAUUUUUAACACACCGUUUAAAGUUCCAGGUGACAAACGGGCAGACUAAUCCAGGGAGGGAGUUGAGGACGAGACGCUCUCCUUGGAACUUUAUGUCUACAUAAGCAUCAAACAGUGACUGUGCUACUACCGAGGGAAACAAACGUUUGUGAAACGCAGCUGGACGUCAGCAGAAAGUGCUGCUGUGGAACAACACUUGGGUUAUGAAAUGGACAAUCAAGAACCAGGUUCCAGGGAAAGAUGCAUGUGAGGAUUGUAUCCCUGCCGAACCUCAAGCCCUAACAAAUAGGGACUGGGGAGCCGUUAAGUAUUACAUUAACAUUUCAAUUUCUUCUCUCCGAAUGUAAAUGAAAUAAAAUUGAACCAAGGAAAAAUACGUUCAAUGUUGAAAGAAGGAUUUCAAGUACCACUACCAAAACUAGGGGCUUUACCUAAACCAAACCAAAUUUUCAUUUUUGAAUCGUCAACUAAUAUAAAUUAAAGGGAAAUCAAUUGCAUUCCGAUUAUGCUGCUAGAAAGAAUCAUCCAUGUUUUCAAAGAUUUCCUUUUUUGCUUUUAGGGUUUUCCCUCUCCUGUAGUGUAGAAAAUAUGUUUUUGUGCAUGUAAAUGUUUUUCAAAGUCUAAAAUCCCUCAUUGAAGCAUGGAAACAUUUCACAGGAGAGAAACUUUAUACAAAUUUGAACCUCAAAAUGACCAGAAUAUGUCAUUGUUAAAUGUAACUCAAAAGGAGGUAAAAGUCUACUGAUUUGUUAGGCCUGUUUGUUUUGUUUUUUGGGUCAUGGGAUUGGUCAAGUUGUACAUUUUGUUUUAACGAUAUAGAAACACCCCAAUAAUAUACAAAUAAAUAUUUAUAGCAUUAAAAUAAUGUUGUAGAGAGUUUAUAUGAAUUAUACUUUUUUCUCAAGAAUUACUAAUUGUUGCCUCUAAGAAAAAACAAUGUUGAACGAAAAGGAUCUUUAGGGGAUUAUUGAUUUGGUCUCCAUGGUGUUUCAAUGUUACUGCCAUGUCUACUGUCUAGUUAUAUUCUAUGUUAAGAUGAGGCUAAUCACCUAAGUAAUGACUUAUUUUACCAGCAAUGUGAAUUUGUUGGUGUAAAAAAUAUCAGAGUAGAAUGUAAAUGUUCAUGAUGCUGUUCUGCAGUUUCUUUGGUAACAAGGAAAGUCCAUUCAACUCAAUAAUGUCUCUAGUAACUCUGAUCCCUUCCAAGAUAUGAAAACUAGAAAUAUGUGUGUGUCUGAUCCCUUCCAAGAUAUGAAAACUAGAAAUAUGUGUGUGUGUGUGUGUGUGUAUAAUGGACCUCAUAAGUGCUGACUGCUAGAAACUGGGCCCCACUACGUGGGUAAAAAACUAGCAUAAUGACAAAAGCUUGGAAUUAUGUUUAUUUCAAGUGAUUUUUGUGAUUCUAGUUUUUUUUCUAUAUUGCCUGAUUUUUUUACGGAGGUCUAGUAUAGUUGGAAAGGGUGGACCCCACAAUUGGGUAAAAUCAGUUCGGGCCCCACAAUUGAGUUGCACAAGGAUGUGUGUGUGUGUGGUCUAGCAUUACUAUACUUGUGGGGACCUAAAUCUGUUUACAUAGUCACGUGUGGAGACUGGCUUCCCUUAUGGGGACAA